rnacentral:lncRNA from 1 species
UAAUCUUUAUAAUUUUAAAAGUUAACAUCGACAAAUAUUUAAAUAUUUAACAUAUGGAUGUAUAUAUUAUAACAUUAAAUUAUAUAUAUUUAAUUUAUACUAUUUAUAAAGAGAAAAAGACCAAAAUAGCACUAAAUCAAGUUUUUGUUCUCAAACUAGCACUCAAGGUCAAAAGUCAUAAAAAUAGCACUCAAGGAAUGGGGUUUAGGGUUUAGAAUUUAGGGUUUAGGGUUUAGAGCUUAGGUUUUAGGGUUUAGAGUUGAGAAGUGAAGUUUUGGGGAUAAGAUUUCAAUUUUUGAAAAAUAAAAAAAUUUAAAUUUUUCAAAGGAUAAAAUGUCAUUUUGGUCAUUUUAGUUUUUGAGUGCUAUUUUUGUGAUAUAAACUUAGAAAUGUGCUAUUUUGGAGAUUUGCCCAUUUAUAAAUCCAAUGAAUCAUCUAUUGUUUAAA